CCUACGGGCGGCAGCAGUGGGGAAUAUUGCACAAUGGGGGAAACCCUGAUGCAGCGACGCCGCGUGAGUGAAGAAGUAUUUCGGUAUGUAAAGCUCUAUCAGCAGGGAAGAAAAUGACGGUACCUGAUUAAGAAGCCCCGGCUAACUACGUGCCAGCAGCCGCGGUAAUACGGAGGAUGCGAGCGUUAUCCGGAUUUAUUGGGUUUAAAGGGUGCGUAGGCGGGCCUUCAGGCCGGCGGUAAAAUUGCGGGGCUCAACCCCGCCGAGCCGUCGGAACCGGGGGCCUUGAGUACCGGAGAAGUACGCGGAAUGCGUGGUGUAGCGGUGAAAUGCAUAGAUAUCACGCAGAACCCCGAUUGCGAAGGCAGCGUACCGGCCGGUCACUGACGCUGAGGCACGAAAGCGCGGGUAUCGAACAGGAUUAGAUACCCGUGUAGUC
rnacentral:rRNA from 1 species